rnacentral:piRNA from 1 species
UUCUGAAAAACACUGUUCUGAGG